CGGAUGUAGUUCAGUGGUAAAACACCGGCUUCCCAAGCCUGAGUUGCGGGUUCGAUUCCCGUCAUCCG
rnacentral:tRNA from 1 species